GAUGAACGCUGGCGGCGUGCCUAAUACAUGCAAGUCGAGCGAACGGACGAGAAGCUUGCUUCUCUGAUGUUAGCGGCGGACGGGUGAGUAACACGUGGAUAACCUACCUAUAAGACUGGGAUAACUUCGGGACACCGGAGCUAAUACCGGAUAAUAUUUUGAACCGCAUGGUUCAAAAGUGAAAGACGGUCUUGCUGUCACUUAUAGAUGGAUCCGCGCUGCAUUAGCUAGUUGGUAAGGUAACGGCUUACCAAGGCAACGAUGCAUAGCCGACCUGAGAGUGUGAUCGGCCACACUGGAACUGAGACACGGUCCAGACUCCUACGGGAGGCAGCAGUAGGGAAUCUUCCGCAAUGGGCGAAAGCCUGACGGAGCAACGCCGCGUGAGUGAUGAAGGUCUUCGGAUCGUAAAACUCUGUUAUUAGGGAAGAACAUAUGUGUAAGUAACUGUGCACAUCUUGACGGUACCUAAUCAGAAAGCCACGGCUAACUACGUG
rnacentral:rRNA from 1 species